UUAAGCGACUAAGCGUACACGGUGGAUGCCCUGGCAGUCAGAGGCGAUGAAGGACGUGCUAAUCUGCGAUAAGCGUCGGUAAGGUGAUAUGAACCGUUAUAACCGGCGAUUUCCGAAUGGGGAAACCCAGUGUGAUUCGUCACACUAUCAUUAACUGAAUCCAUAGGUUAAUGAGGCGAACCGGGGGAACUGAAACAUCUAAGUACCCCGAGGAAAAGAAAUCAACCGAGAUUCCCCCAGUAGCGGCGAGCGAACGGGGAGCAGCCCAGAGCCUGAAUCAGUGUGUGUGUUAGUGGAAGCGUCUGGAAAGGCGUGCGAUACAGGGUGACAGCCCCGUACACAAAAAUGCACAUGCUGUGAGCUCGAUGAGUAGGGCGGGACACGUGGUAUCCUGUCUGAAUAUGGGGGGACCAUCCUCCAAGGCUAAAUACUCCUGACUGACCGAUAGUGAACCAGUACCGUGAGGGAAAGGCGAAAAGAACCCCGGCGAGGGGAGUGAAAAAGAACCUGAAACCGUGUACGUACAAGCAGUGGGAGCACAGAGCAAUCUGUGUGACUGCGUACCUUUUGUAUAAUGGGUCAGCGACUUAUAUUCUGUAGCAAGGUUAACCGAAUAGGGGAGCCGAAGGGAAACCGAGUCUUAACUGGGCGUUAAGUUGCAGGGUAUAGACCCGAAACCCGGUGAUCUAGCCAUGGGCAGGUUGAAGGUUGGGUAACACUAACUGGAGGACCGAACCGACUAAUGUUGAAAAAUUAGCGGAUGACUUGUGGCUGGGGGUGAAAGGCCAAUCAAACCGGGAGAUAGCUGGUUCUCCCCGAAAGCUAUUUAGGUAGCGCCUCGUGAAUUCAUCUCCGGGGUAGAGCACUGUUUCGGCAAGGGGGUCAUCCCGACUUACCAACCCGAUGCAAACUGCGAAUACCGGAGAAUGUUAUCACGGGAGACACACGGCGGGUGCUAACGUCCGUCGUGAAGAGGGAAACAACCCAGACCGCCAGCUAAGGUCCCAAAGUCAUGGUUAAGUGGGAAACGAUGUGGGAAGGCCCAGACAGCCAGGAUGUUGGCUUAGAAGCAGCCAUCAUUUAAAGAAAGCGUAAUAGCUCACUGGUCGAGUCGGCCUGCGCGGAAGAUGUAACGGGGCUAAACCAUGCACCGAAGCUGCGGCAGCGACGCUUAUGCGUUGUUGGGUAGGGGAGCGUUCUGUAAGCCUGCGAAGGUGUGCUGUGAGGCAUGCUGGAGGUAUCAGAAGUGCGAAUGCUGACAUAAGUAACGAUAAAGCGGGUGAAAAGCCCGCUCGCCGGAAGACCAAGGGUUCCUGUCCAACGUUAAUCGGGGCAGGGUGAGUCGACCCCUAAGGCGAGGCCGAAAGGCGUAGUCGAUGGGAAACAGGUUAAUAUUCCUGUACUUGGUGUUACUGCGAAGGGGGGACGGAGAAGGCUAUGUUGGCCGGGCGACGGUUGUCCCGGUUUAAGCGUGUAGGCUGGUUUUCCAGGCAAAUCCGGAAAAUCAAGGCUGAGGCGUGAUGACGAGGCACUACGGUGCUGAAGCAACAAAUGCCCUGCUUCCAGGAAAAGCCUCUAAGCAUCAGGUAACAUCAAAUCGUACCCCAAACCGACACAGGUGGUCAGGUAGAGAAUACCAAGGCGCUUGAGAGAACUCGGGUGAAGGAACUAGGCAAAAUGGUGCCGUAACUUCGGGAGAAGGCACGCUGAUAUGUAGGUGAAGUCCCUCGCGGAUGGAGCUGAAAUCAGUCGAAGAUACCAGCUGGCUGCAACUGUUUAUUAAAAACACAGCACUGUGCAAACACGAAAGUGGACGUAUACGGUGUGACGCCUGCCCGGUGCCGGAAGGUUAAUUGAUGGGGUUAGCGCAAGCGAAGCUCUUGAUCGAAGCCCCGGUAAACGGCGGCCGUAACUAUAACGGUCCUAAGGUAGCGAAAUUCCUUGUCGGGUAAGUUCCGACCUGCACGAAUGGCGUAAUGAUGGCCAGGCUGUCUCCACCCGAGACUCAGUGAAAUUGAACUCGCUGUGAAGAUGCAGUGUACCCGCGGCAAGACGGAAAGACCCCGUGAACCUUUACUAUAGCUUGACACUGAACAUUGAGCCUUGAUGUGUAGGAUAGGUGGGAGGCUUUGAAGUGUGGACGCCAGUCUGCAUGGAGCCGACCUUGAAAUACCACCCUUUAAUGUUUGAUGUUCUAACGUUGACCCGUAAUCCGGGUUGCGGACAGUGUCUGGUGGGUAGUUUGACUGGGGCGGUCUCCUCCUAAAGAGUAACGGAGGAGCACGAAGGUUGGCUAAUCCUGGUCGGACAUCAGGAGGUUAGUGCAAUGGCAUAAGCCAGCUUGACUGCGAGCGUGACGGCGCGAGCAGGUGCGAAAGCAGGUCAUAGUGAUCCGGUGGUUCUGAAUGGAAGGGCCAUCGCUCAACGGAUAAAAGGUACUCCGGGGAUAACAGGCUGAUACCGCCCAAGAGUUCAUAUCGACGGCGGUGUUUGGCACCUCGAUGUCGGCUCAUCACAUCCUGGGGCUGAAGUAGGUCCCAAGGGUAUGGCUGUUCGCCAUUUAAAGUGGUACGCGAGCUGGGUUUAGAACGUCGUGAGACAGUUCGGUCCCUAUCUGCCGUGGGCGCUGGAGAACUGAGGGGGGCUGCUCCUAGUACGAGAGGACCGGAGUGGACGCAUCACUGGUGUUCGGGUUGUCAUGCCAAUGGCACUGCCCGGUAGCUAAAUGCGGAAGAGAUAAGUGCUGAAAGCAUCUAAGCACGAAACUUGCCCCGAGAUGAGUUCUCCCUGACUCCUUGAGAGUCCUGAAGGAACGUUGAAGACGACGACGUUGAUAGGCCGGGUGUGUAAGCGCAGCGAUGCGUUGAGCUAACCGGUACUAAUGAACCGUGAGGCUUAACCU
rnacentral:rRNA from 1 species